CCUCUUUCGAGCCUUCGGUUCAAGCAGAUGUCAGGCAAGGCUCUGUACUCGUUGACCUGAGGAAUAACCCCUCGCCUCCGUUUAGCUGUACUAGGAGCAAGGUUCGAAUCUCUGCUAAGACAGGAGGCUUCCUGGCUCUUCUGCAAUGAGGACAGGGGUAGCAGGAGGGAUGACCCAGGGGCCCAUUUUCACUUCUUGUCCCUGGGCCCUCUCCAACCUUGCUAUGCCCCUACUGAUGGGCCGCUAUGCCCCUACUCAAGAAAGGAGGCAGCCAGGCGAGUGAGUUCUUGUCCUCAGCUCCUGAAAAGACCAACAACCUGAGACGUAUUAAUCUUAUGUAAUUUCCUUGUUUUAAUAUUGUAAACCGCUUUGGAUGCCUUUGUCAAGGCAGAUAGGAGGUAUAAAAUGCAAUAAAUAAUAAAUAACUCCA